rnacentral:rRNA from 1 species
CCAGACUCCUACGGGAGGCAGCAGUGAGGAAUAUUGGUCAAUGGGCGGAAGCCUGAACCAGCCAAGUCGCGUGAGGGAAGAAGGCCCUGCGGGUCGCAGACCUCUUUGGACGGGGAGCAAGGCCGCCGACGUGUCGGCGGAAGGAGAGUACCCGUAGAACAAGCAUCGGCUAACUCCGUGCCAGCAGCCGCGGUAAUACGGAGGAUGCGAGCGUUAUCCGGAUUUAUUGGGUUUAAAGGGUGCGCAGGCGGCACGGCAAGCCGGGGGUGAAAGCGCGGGGCUCAACCCCGGCCAGCCGUCGGAACUGCCGGGCUAGAGUGGGCGAGAAGUGCGCGGAAUGCGUGGGGUAGCGGGGAAAUGCAUAGAUAUCACGAAGAACCCCGAUUGCGAAGGCAGCAUACCGGCUCCACACUGACGCUGAGGCACGAAAGCGUGGGGAUCGAACAGGAUUAGAUACCCGAGUAGA